AAUAAGGAAGCAACUGAUUGAAAAGUAUAUGUAUCACAAAAUAAGCAAAGAUAUAUUUGAUGCACAGGAAGCUGCCUCAACUUUACAACCAAUGGAAUCGCUGACCGUAACAGGACAUGACUUCAAGGUGGAAGGUUUUAAAUCUGUUCCACGUCCUCCUACUAUGCUGGAAGGCAAAAUACACAAGAAUGUUUGCAAAGUAAUAUAUGGACAAAAUACAGAAAACUGCAGAUGCAUAACUACAAAACAGAACAGCCUAUUACGAUCUGGACUGACCAUGCCAUGCAAAUACAUGUCGUGGUAACCAUGAACGAUAGAUCCAGCCACAGCAGGGGCUGUUAUCGCUGUGGCCAUGAUGCUGUGACAACACAGAGAGGUUGAAGAUGAAUGGAUGCGCAAACAAGACCAGGACCAGCAACAUUCAGUGCCUGCUGAGCAGUCUCCGCAUGAAGAAGUCACAGCUGACAUCCCCUCCGGAUACAGAGGAGAAAUCUGUCAGCUAUGAUACCAUUUCCUGCAGAUCAACGAGGCACAGUGUCAUCACAGACUGAGGAUAGCCCAGAACAUCAUCAGAAGACUAUACCACCUCGUAGAGCAGGAUCUGCAGAAGUGGUGGUGAUCUUAUUCUGGGUGUCACUCCAAUAAAGAACGCUCAUGCUCCAUUUCGGAAAAAUACAUCAUUUACCAAAACAAUAGCAGAAACAUUGGAUAGCUGACAACUUAUAGUUUGAAAUUGCAUUGUUCCCAUUCACAGAAAUUAACGUUCACGGAAAUUAGAUAAUAUGUAUUAUACCUGUUGCUGCUUAUUCUCUUUUUACUGCUUCUAUACAGAAUCCGGAUCAUUCAUUUAACAUCAAUUCUGAAAUAAAUAAAAAUGUGCCAAAAGAUUAGAAACUUUAUUUUUCAAAGUGUCUCGUGGUAAUGCCAAUGAAAAAAGCAGCAUGUACCAGAACUGAAUCUCACCUGAUUAGAAAGAAGGCAUUACAGAGUGAGGUUCCACUACCCCUGCUGAACUUUAGUGGUCUGAGUUGCAAAAUUGUCUAUUGCUAGUUUGUAAUUCUCUGGCAAAGCUAAUGACCAUUAUAUUAUGAUCCUGCACAACUAGCCAUUGAUUUUAAAUAAUAUACACUGUUGUACGAUUCUAUGACUCUGUAAUAUGUUCUCACACAUACAUUCCUCCUCUUUUGGGUAAUGGUGGUGAAAUGUUGGAAGGUUAUAGCAGGCUGAUUUACCUGUUGUUUGUAUCUGUUUGAUCUCUGUAAACACUUGUUCCGUGGCCAACAAGUUCUGGAGUGUGACUUGGAUCUGGAACAUAUGGCUCAGAGGCAGUACGUAACCUAUAGAGUCACAAGAGUUCCUUAACAGCUGGAACAUUUCAGGCUUCUUGCAGAGUGCUUCCUACCUGCCAUCGAGAGUAAGAUCAUCAGAGCUCAGCUUCACAGGGUUCGUCAUGUAGUUUGCAUGCAGGAUUUAUGGGUAAAAAUGGCAGUAUUCUACAGUCAGUUAUGCAUGAAAACCACGCAAGACAUUCCAAACUUCAAUAUAUAGACAAUCUGAAAGUCAACUUCGGAGCGUGCAAGCUGGUUCUCAAUAUGUAGGGAAAAAAGAUUUUGGAUAGACCCAAAUGGGAAAGUUCCUGUCAUCAAGUGACUUCAACAUUUGAGGAGAGCGAAAUAGUGUGACUUCAGCACCAACAAGCAUGGUGCAAACGGCAAUGCCUCCAUCCAACCUUCUAAUAUUUGUCUCCAAGAUGGUGGCAGAGUAGGAUUCCUGAGCAGGAGCUUAUCCACUCCACGUGUUUCUUUUCCUUUUAUGUCUCUUUGUAUUUUUGUAUCCUUUUGUAUCCUCAGGUAGCAUUGGCGAUGUCCAGGGUGAAAGCCGGUGUGGACUCCCGGCCUCAGCAUGGACUUAAACUCCUGAAAUCUGGGCUCAUUGUGAACCCGAACUCACAGCCUCAGCGUGGACUCGAGCUGCUGACCUCAGCGUGAACUCAACUCUUGCCACUCCCAGCCUUGGGGUGCAGGCUGACACAGUCUGGGUUGGAAGGAUUGUUGUUCUGAACUCUUUUUUCUCUAUUUUUCUAAUUUAU